rnacentral:rRNA from 1 species
AUUGAACGCUGGCGGCAGGCCUAACACAUGCAAGUCGAGCGGAGCGGCGGACGGGUGAGUAAUGCCUAGGAAUCUGCCUGGUAGUGGGGGAUAACGUCCGGAAACGGGCGCUAAUACCGCAUACUAUCAGAUGAGCCUAGGUCGGAUUAGCUAGUUGGUGGGGUAAAGGCCUACCAAGGCGACGAUCCGUAACUGGUCUGAGAGGAUGAUCAGUCACACUGUAAGUGACACACUGUCCAGACUCCGACGUGAGGCAGCAUUGGGGAAUAUUGGACAAUGGGCGAAAGCCUGAUCCAGCCAUGCCGCGUGUGUGAAGAAGGUCUUCGGAUUGUAAAGCACUUUCAGUGGGGAGGCGUUACCCGCAGAAUAAGCACCGGCUAACUUCGUGCCAGCCGCCGCGGUAAUAC